rnacentral:lncRNA from 10 species
CAGGAGCCUCCCUAAUAUGAAGGGUUGCCAUUAUUCUGACCUCUUUCACUGUAGAUUUGUUUUGUCUGUUUUUGACCUUCAUUUAAAUGGAAUCCUAUAGAGUGUACUCUUUCAUAUAUGACUUUUCUCACUCGACAUUCAUCCAUGUUGCCUGUAUUAUCGUGUGUUCUUUUUUUACUGCUGUGUAGUAUUCUAGUGAACAAACAUAUCACAUGUUGCAGGUUUGUUCUCUGGGAAGUUGACUCUGAGAUGUUGGUUAGCAUGCAGGAUAGUUACUAAGAAGUACCCUUGGGAUGGAGCCCUAUGGAAGGGAAGAACAGAAAACAGGAUCAGAACAGAGAGAAGUCAAGAACUCAACAAAGACCCAAGGACCACCUCAGCUGACCCACAGAGAGCUCUGAAGCUAAAAUGGUCCACCUUAGUUGUUCCAUGUGGAGCAGAAUUGCUGGAUCAGUCAUAGGGUGUAUAUCAAUUUAUACACUCACCAGCAAGUCCCUUAAAUUUUAGCCAUUCUCAUGGAUGGGUGUUUAGUGGUAUCAUUAUGGUUUUGAUUUGCACUCACUUCCUUAACUGACUAAACACAUAGCCACCAGAAACCUGCCUGGUCAGGGUAGAACCAAAUUUGAACUCAAGGUAGUUGAUUCUAAAGACACCAUGUUUCUCCCCAUACAUCACGUUUCCUCCCUCCACACCAGGAAGUGUCUCCAUCCAGAGUCCAAACUAUUUCUGAAGUAGUCAUUGACUUGGAACCUGCUUGGUAUAUAGUUGUAUGGUGUGUAUUAGUUUCUUCUGGGGCAGACACUGCUAGUUGUCCAAAGCCAGUCCAGUCUCUACUCUUUCCUUGCUCUCAUCCACAUUUCAAUCUGUAUCUGGUGGCGAUAGGCUUGGGGGAAGCCCAGUCUCAGGGUAAGCCAUGAUUGUAACUAACCUCUAGCCAAUGAAACAUGAAGCUGUGCUUUUGGGACUGCUGAGAAUCACUUUGUCAUCUUUUCCCCUACUUCAAACAUCUUGAUAUGUAAAAUGAUAAAUUUCCUUACCAUUUAAACAAUGUAGGUCUUCUGUUGCUUGCAGCCAAAAGCAUCCUAACUUUCCCUUUCCUAUACCUCAGUGUAAACAGAUUGCACCUUUUCUUCCCAGCGUCUUCUUAAACUGUGGUCUGAUAGAAAAUGCAGAAGCAUCAUCCUUAUAAUAUUUAUAAGAUAGAUUAUUUUAAUUCUUAUACAGAGCAGCUCUAGAGGUAGACGUUAGUGUUAACUCCAUCUCAUCAAUGAGAAAACCAUAGACCAAUUUCAGCUCCUGAGAAAUUAAAUGGCUCAAAGAACUCUUCCAAACAGCAGCCUCAUUUUUCAGACACUACAGUCAAGACCCACAGAGAAGAAGUUUAAGGUCCCCCAGCCAGUGCCCCACAUGGGGACAAGGAGCAGUUCCAUUUUGUUGUGCAACAGCUCGUAAAUCCAGGAAUUACAAACAAAGGGGAUUCUGUUACAGACAAAAUAAAGCUCCCAAAACGUAGCACUUACUAUAAGAAGAAGGAAAAGAAGAUGGAGGAGGAGGAGGAGGAGACAGAAAAGAAGAAGGAAGAAAAUAAAUUUGAAAAAAUAAGUUAGAAGAAAUCUACGAAUCAACUCAGAAUAACACUCACAAAGACACAGAAUGUGUCGUCUUAGAAGUUAGCCUUUCAGUAAACGCCUUUGGGGUGUUGGGGAUGGGAGGAGAGGGUUGUCUCUCCCGCUGUAACAUGCCAGUGCCGUGGUGAGACAACUUAAUAGCAGGGUAGCAUUUCAGUUACAAAUCAAGAACUCUAUGUUUCAGUAAGGUCUCUUCAAACUCUGGUGGGUUAGCCUGUGGGGGAGUCUCUGAAUCUGUGCACUCUAUAAAAGGCAGGACAUUUUUAUGGCCCUGGGAUUCAAUAAAUGUUAAAACACCAAAGGUGGCAAUAUAACAAGUAUGCAAAAUAUCCUGAAGGGUCUUAAAUCUCAGAGCAGCAUGACUUGUAUUGAGAUUGUCUUCAAGUCUUGACAAGCACAAUGAAUGGUCCAAUACACUCUCCGCUCGGCAUCAAGGAGGAAGUGUUGAACAUGUCAAAUAUGAAAUGUUCCCCUUUUUAAAAUUCAUUUUUCUGGAAACCUGAGCUGCCUUGCAGACUCCAAAUGAAUGCCAUGUCCUUUUUGUGAGAAGAACAAUCACAAAUGAUGCGAGCAUGUAUAAAACAAUGAUCUUCCUGACGUAGCCCUGAGGGCCAGAUCUACGCUUCACGUUCACUGCCAGCCCUGCAGAAUAUUUGUUCCUUCUGCGAAUUUCUGGUCAGAUUGAGAACAGAUUUCCUGUGUAUUUGUCACUUUGGUUUCCCUUGACCAGAAGGGCUGCAAGUUUCUCUUAGUCAGGAGAAAUAAUAAUAACAACAGCAAUAACAGUAUGACUGCCAAUGCUAUUGUGCCUACCAUUUACUGUGCCCUUGCUAUGUGUUAGAUACUGUGUUAAACUGGAGGCAAUAUUCAUGGCCAUUGGGUCCUCUGGGAAGCAGACACCGAGAUGAGUUCAGAAUACCAGUGGUAUAUUGAGGGCAAUGUUUGUAAAAUUGAAAAGGGAGAGAAGUCAGAAUUGGGCAGGGAAAGCCUUCAGACUGAGAUGCUGAUCUGAUACCUGGGAAAGGAAAGGGAGAAGAAGCAGGAUUAUUUCCUUGGAGGCCAUAAGUCACUGCUCUUCUGGCUUUGGUUUCCUGCUUCACAAUUUUCCUACAAUUUACCCAGAAACCAAUGACAAGGGCAAGCCCCUCGUGAUAUAUACAGAGCUUGACUUCUCACAGAGCUCUGGUAUCUGUUUGCUCUCACAUUCUAGGAUUUUUAGUGACUUUCUUGGGAUUUAAAAGACAGAGCCCAUUUCAGUACUCAGAUCCCCACUCGAGGCACUCCUGCCAUUCAAAUAUAUGGUGCCAAUCCAGGGGUAAUCAGCCUGCCUUCUGUUCCCCAUCCAGCUCAGGUGGAAGCAUGAUUGCAGUUUAUACCUGUAAUUUGAAGGUGAAGCUAUAAAUGGGAUCCAGGCCAGAGUGGGUGGGGGUGGGGAUGGGAGGCCAUCAGACCAGCAUAGAUGGCAUCUGGACAACAGGAGCUGGUGUUCUUUCAUGUGAAUAGGUUCAGGUCCCAGGGACACAAAUGUCUUCCCUGGGUUACUGCUAGACAAGGCCUACAUGCAGAUGUGGGGUGGGUAACCUCCCAUCAGUUAAGCCUCUGCACACCCUCAGUCCUAAUCCUGCCAUCCCCACCUGUGAGCUCCCUAAAUAUGCACACAGAGGCAUCCUAAGGGGCAUCUGGCUGCAAAAUCUUCCCAGAGAAGCAGGAUUGGUUUGGAACCUUCUUCCCUAAAUGUCACCUCACUCUGGAGGUCCUGACAAUCAGAGACACUUGGCAAAGGCAAAUAGAAAUCAGGACUUCUGUACAAUUAGCUCAGAAACAAACCACUCAGGAUAAGCUCCAGGGCUUGUCCUCACAAGCCACCAAAUUUACAAAGUUCCAGUUAUUAGUAUUUUUGUUUACCAAAAAAUAAACUGAGGUUUUCUGGCUCCAGAGUUCAUGCUCUUACCCAUUGUACAGUAUUGCCAUCUGUAUAAGUUAGAGUCCAAUAAGGAGACAGAAACAUGAUUUGAAUAGUGAAAGUUUAGUAUAAAUAAUUAUUAACUAGUAACAGCAAUAUCAGGAAAACUAGAUCCAAUUUAUGUUCUGAGUUCUGUGUACCAUAUAAUGCUGCAGAGGGAAUCGUUAGCAAAACAUGCAAGCUUGCAUAGUCCUCAGAUAUUACUAAGAAAGCCCUCUGUGCUAGGCACUGUGCAGAGGUGUUGGAAACUCACUGAUUAAAAAAAACACAGGGGCAGCUCCUGCCCUCACAGAGUUCAGGGUCUGGAGAAAAUAGCCUCGUAUCUUAUAGUGAAGAAUUGAGAAAUACCAUCCCAGACGAACUAAGUGGGAACCACUCAAAUUGCCUGGAAUGCCUGCCAAAAAGGGACUGGCAUAUCUGAAUCCCAACCCAAAUCUAAUGAAUCUGAACUUUGGUGCUCAGAGGCCACAUAACACUAACACCGUAAUCUGAUUAGCUGAGUUAAAGGAAAGUAGGAGUCCAGGAAAGCCUUCUAAAAGACUCAUAAGUGCUCACCGUGAUUGCAUGAGAGCCAGGUGCCAGACACAGUUCUGAGCAUUCUGUAUGCAUCUCUUUCUUUAAUCCUCUAGCAGCCUGAUUGCCUUCACAUGUGUUAACACAUUUAAUCCUCACACUAACCUUUUGAGUUAUUAUCAUCAUCCUUAUUUUAUACAAAUAAGGAAAAUGAGGCAAAGAGUAGUUAAGUCAUUUGUCGAGGCCACACAGAUGGUAAGUAGUAGAGCUUUUCAUCAUUUUACUGUAUUGCUAUCCAACAUGGCACCUAAAGAGUCAACGGGAAUUUUACCAGAACACCACUCACCUCUCUCUGCCCUUCUGCCCAUUGUGCAGCCUCCUCCUCUGACUGGCUGAAGGGAAUGUACGUGCAAAGACCCAGAGGUAAGAAAAUGCACAGACCAUUUAAGGCAGUGUGCAAAGACCCAGAGGUAAGAAAAGGCACAGACCAUUUAAGAUGGCUUGGAGAACCUAAAGUGCUAAUCCAUGAGGCUAGAUUGUAAACACUUAAGGUCCAGAGGAUAUUGCAUACCGCAAAACCUGGACCCAACAGGCUAAUGCUUUGAACCUCAGUUUAGCCCUUUUGACCUGCCUAAAAAAUGUACUCUUCCAUGCCCUGUACUGAGUGCUUCCAUCCUUGUCUAAACCACAGCCAUGGCAUAAAGACCCCUAAGAAUCUGAAAUGAGGAAACCAGCAACGCCCACCUUCAAUAUCCUUCAAACAAUCCCCAGCCUCAGGGAUAUCCAGCUCACAACUCUGCUGUCCAUCUCCUGUUCUGUGUCAUCGUUCUGCCCAAGCCCACCCUUCUGAGACAGCAACCUGUGGUCCAACCCCAGUUAUGUAUCUUUCCCCCUGCCACCAAGAUCAACUUUUGCUGAGUCCUUCUGCUCACUGAGCUAUUAAUGUGACUAAUUAAUAUAAUUCAUUUAUUCCUUGACAAUGACAAAUGCCAAGCAGAUGAUGAAGCAGAAAAAGCUUAUGCUUUGGGUCAGGAGAAAUGGAUUCAAGUCUUGGCUCAGCUGUUGACUAGCUCUCUGAGCCUCAGUUGCCCCAUCUGUAAAACAGAAUAAUACCUACCCCCACAGAGUUGCUGGGAGGUGGAAGUAAGAUCGUGUCAGUGAAAAGUUUUUGAAAACUCUUCACAAAAAGGAUUUCUAUAAACAUGAAGUUGGCCAUCUAACACUGUCUGGCCCAUUAAACCUCCUAUUGAGGCUAAAUGAGGGUAGGGGUCAGGUUUGAAACCUUUUUUAAGUUUAUCUGUGUCUAUGGUCAUGUGUGUUAGCUCUGGAAUCAGAACCCCCUGCACCUGAUUCAGUCUCUACCACUUAUUAUCUGUGAGACCUCAGACAAUUUGCUUAAUUUUACUGCCUUAGUUUUCCCAUCUGUAAAAUAGGCAUAAUAAUAACACCUAGCUAUGAGGCUGUUGUGAGAAUUAAAUGCAAUAUGGCAAGUAAGGUCUUUUGUGUAGUGCUUUUUAUAUAGUAAAUGCUAAAUAAAUGUGAGUGACUUUUUAAAAAUCCUCACAACCUACACAGCGCUGUGCUAUUAUCUACAUUUUACAGAUGAAUAAACUGAGGCCCACACGGAUGAAAGUUUCAACCAAGGACACUCAGGGAGUGGAUGACAUUGAUAAGCUUUGAACCCAGGUCUGCGGAAUGCGAAUCUGCCCCUAUGCUGCCAGCCCUGCUGUCUCCCAAGCUUGGCCAACAGCCUCUCACGUGGAAUCAUGAGCUCCUCCACGAUCUCAUUGGAGAAUGUCUUCUCCAAGCAGCUAUUUUUAUGGGAACCAGAGGAUACUGACCAGAGGAAGAUAAGGAGCCUUUCCUUCACAUGGGUCUAAGAAACUCACCAUUUUCCUCAACAUCUGACCUGACAACUGGUUUCCCAGCAUUGGCCCCAAGAAAUACCACCUGCCAUCGCUACCUGGAUUCUGCAGCCCCCAAAGCCACAGCCUUCCACCUUCCUUCCCCAGCAAGACAAAUGGGGUAACCUGUUUGUAGCAUCCUCAGGAGUCCUUGGGGGGAGGAGAACCUGACGGAGAUGAGAAGAUAGGCCACGCCCAGCUCCAACGAGUGGCACACGUGUAAGCAUUUAAGCAUUUAGGCUGGCUGAGGGUGGCAGUCCUGACCUCUGUUUUUAAGGAAGCCUGCCCAGGGUUUUAUAGUCCAGGGUUCCUUGUGAUCCUCAAGGCUUCCUUUACUCCUACCCCUGAAAAAACUCCAAGGGAAGAACUUCAAAGCUGCUUUCUCUUUAUAAAUCUCACAGCCUGGGGACAUUCUGCCCACCCAAGUAAAACCCCCAGAUCUAUGAUGCAUCUGGAGGUUUCCAAGGCUUCCCUGGCUUUAUUGGAUAGUCUCUUCCCAACAGCCCUUGGGGUUCUUGUUCAAUGAGCUUACUUAGCCAGGUUGUACAUUCUAUCCAAAUACUACCUAUCCUUAGGCACUUCCCCUGAGACAUCACAUCUCCAGGAAGCCUCCCUCAGACUGGUUGGGUUCCCCAGAGCACUUUGCCCUUAGCUCUAGUAAAGCACAGGUACAUCAUGAUGGUUAGUAUUGAGUAUCAACUUGAUUGGAUUGAAGGAUGUGAAAUACUGUUCCUGGGUGUGUCUGUGAGGGUGAUGUCAAAGGAGAUUAACAUUCGAGUCAGUGGACUGGGAGAGGCAGACCCACCCUCAAUCCGGGUGGGCAGCAUCUAAUCAGCUGCCAGCACAGCUAGGAUAAAGCAGGCAGAAGAACGUGGAAAAACUAGACUUGCUGAGUCUUCAGCCUUCAUCUUUCUCCCAUGCUGGAUGCUUCCUGCCCUCAAACAUCAGACUCCAAGUUCUUCAGCUUUGGGACUCCUGGACCUACAUCAGUGGUAUUCCAGGGGCUCUUGGGCCUUUGGCCACAGACUGAAGACUGCACUGUUGGCUUCCCUACUUUUGAGGUUUGGGGACUCAGACUGACCCACCACUGGCUUCCUUGCUCCUCAACUUGUAAACGGCCUAUUGUGGGACUUUGACCUUGUGAUCGUGUGAAUCAAUUCUCCUUAAUAAAAUCCCUUUCCUAUAUACAU